rnacentral:rRNA from 1 species
UGGGGAAUAUUGGACAAUGGGCGAAAGCCUGAUCCAGCCAUGCCGCGUGUGUGAAGAAGGUCUUCGGAUUGUAAAGCACUUUAAGUUGGGAGGAAGGGCAUUAACCUAAUACGUUAGUGUUUUGACGUUACCGACAGAAUAAGCACCGGCUAACUCUGUGCCAGCAGCCGCGGUAAUACAGAGUGUGCAAGCGUUAAUCGGAAUUACUGGGCGUAAAGCGCGCGUAGGUUGUUUGUUAAGUUGGAUGUGAAAUCCCCGGGCUCAACCUGGGAACUGCAUUCAAAACUGACUGACUAGAGUAUGGUAGAGGGUGGUGGAAUUUCCUGUGUAGCGGUGAAAUGCGUAGAUAUAGGAAGGAACACCAGUGGCGAAGGCGACCACCUGGACUAAUACUGACACUGAGGUGCGAAAGCGUGGGGAGCAAACA